CUUCCUUCCCUUUUGUCCUUCUUUAUAUGGUAUCAGAGCCAUAUGACGUCUCCAAAUUCCAUCUCUGAAAAUCAAGUCCCAACCACUGAAUUCAGCCUUAAUCUGAUCAAUAAUGCUGAACCCACUCCCAAUUUCUCCUUAUCUCAACCUUCCCAACCUAUUAAUCCUGCAAAUCAACUAGCUAUUGUACGUUUGGAUGAUUUAAAUUUUCUCAUAUGGAGACAACAUGUUCCCGCUGGAAUUCGCGAUUUUGGGUUGGAGGGAUUUAUAGAUGGUUAUGCUAUUUGUCCUCCAGAACUCACUCCAACCGUAAGUGGUAAACCAGGGCCGUUAAUCCAGACUAUGUUUUCUAGCAUCGCCAAGACCAACAGAUAUUCUCUUGGUUAUUGGUGUCAAUGACGGAGAGCAUUCAAGCCCAAAUGGUGGGAUCAAACACGGCCAGUGAUAUCUGGCGUAUUGUUGAACGUCUGUUUGCAUCCAGAUCUAAGGCAAAGGUGAUGCAACACAAGCUUCAAUUCCUGACCCAGAAGAAAGGAGGUUUGAGUAUGCGUGAAUACCUCCUGAAGAUGAAGACCUAUGCUGAUGUUCUUACUUCUGCUGGACAAAAGAUUUUAAAGGAGGACCAAAUACUUUAUGUUCUAGCUGGGUUGGGAAUUGAGUAUGAAUCUGUUAUCGUCUCUGUUACAUCAUGUGUAGAGCCCUACUCUUUACAAGAUGUAACUGAGCUUCUUCUCGCACAUGAAAAUCGGAUUGAACAGUAUUCCGCAAAUGGAGAUGGGUCACAAGCCACUGUGAAUUUGGCACUUCAAGACCAGUCACAGAAAAAUGGGGAUAAUGUCCAAAAAUUUUCUCUUGGGAGAAAUCUGAAUUUACGAGGCAGAGGUCGUGGUGGCCGCGGUGGAAACAGAACAUGGAAUGGCAACAACAAGCCUCAGUGCCAACUUUUUGGUAGAAUUGGACACACAGCGCAAAAAUGCUACUACCAUUUUGACCCUUCAUUCUCUGGUUUCAGUAGUGCUAGGAAUACCUCUCUUUCAAGUAGUCAAAGUGGAGAUAGGUCCACUCAAAUGGCAGCAAUGAUGGCAGCCCCUAAGUUACUUGCUGAGAAUGGGUGGUUUCCAGACUCGGGAGCAACAAAUCAUGUGACUAAUGACUUGAACAAUCUGCAUAUUGGCAAUGAAUAUCUGGGGAGCAAUAAAAUUGUGAUGGGUAAUGGUAAAGGUCUCUCAAUAUCUCAUGUUGGCUCUUCCUUUUUUAGGUCUUCUAAUUCGUCCCGUGUUUAUACUUUGUCCAAACUAUUGCAUGUUCCACAAAUUACAAAGAACUUGCUUAGUGUUAGCCAAUUUGCUUGUGACAAUCAUGUUUAUUUCGAAUUUCACCCGAAUUUGUGUUUUGUGAAGGAUUAGGCCACGGGAAUGGAGCUACUCCGAGGGAGACUACAUAAUGGGCUGUAUCGGUUUAAUCUGUUUAAGGCAUCUCCUGCAUCAUCUCCAUUGUCAUCCUCAAGUUCUUCUAUUCAACAUCAGUCGAAUCCUCUUUCUGCCUUUUCUUUAUAGUCAGUAGGUGCUAGUCUGAGUCCAGUGUCUUCUAGUCCAGUUAAGUCUAAUGUUAGAGUCAAUCAAAUUAUAGACCUCUGGCAUACGAAGCUUGGUCAUCCCGCUGCUUCAAUUGUCAGGACGGUUCUAUCUUCAUGUAAUAUCCC
rnacentral:lncRNA from 1 species